UACAGAGGGUGCAAGCGUUGUUCGGAAUUAUUGGGCGUAAAGCGCGCGUAGGCGGCCUUGCAAGUUAGAGGUGAAAGCCCGGAGCUCAACUCCGGAACUGCCUUUAAAACUGCAUAGCUUGAAUCCGGGAGAGGUGAGUGGAAUUCCGAGUGUAGAGGUGAAAUUCGUAGAUAUUCGGAAGAACACCAGUGGCGAAGGCGGCUCACUGGACCGGUAUUGACGCUGAGGCGCGAGAGCGUGGGGGAGCAAACCGG
rnacentral:rRNA from 1 species